rnacentral:rRNA from 1 species
UACGUAGGGUGCAAGCGUUGUCCGGAAUUAUUGGGCGUAAAGAGCUUGUAGGCGGUUUGUCGCGUCUGCUGUGAAAUUUCGGGGCUCAACCCCGAACUUGCAGUGGGUACGGGCAGACUAGAGUGUGGUAGGGGGAGACUGGAAUUCCUGGUGUAGCGGUGAAAAUGCGCAGAUAUCAGGAGGAACACCGGUGGCAAGGCGGGUCUCUGGCGGCACUGACUCUGAGGGAGCGAAAAGCGUGGGGGAGCAA